rnacentral:rRNA from 1 species
UACGUAGGGUGCGAGCGUUAAUCGGAAUUACUGGGCGUAAAGCGUGCGCAGGCGGUUUGUUAAGUCAGGUGUGAAAUCCCCGGGCUCAACCUGGGAAUGGCGCUCGUAACUGGCAGGCUAGAGUGUGUCAGAGGGAGGUAGAAUUCCACGUGUAGCAGUGAAAUGCGUAGAGAUGUGGAGGAAUACCGAUGGCGAAGGCAGCCUCCUGGGAUAACACUGACGCUCAGGCACGAAAGCGUGGGGAGCAAACAGG